rfam:Viridibacillus arenosi FSL R5-213 Contig013, whole genome shotgun sequence.
UCUAACCUAAGCAACGCAAACCCUACCUUCUUUUGCGUCCUUGUGACCCCAAAGUCACUCCAGUGUGAAUAAGUAUCUACAAAAACAU